GCCUUAAAAGAAGCCCGGACAUUGGAACAAUACAGACAAGAUUAGCAUGUCUCCUGCGCAAGGAUGACAAGCACAAAUCGGAAAAAAAAAGUGGACAA
rfam:Triticum urartu cultivar G1812 contig893161, whole genome shotgun sequence.